rnacentral:rRNA from 1 species
AACGAACGCUGGCGGCAGGCCUAACACAUGCAAGUCGAACGGGAUCUUCGGAUCUAGUGGCGGACGGGUGAGUAACGCGUGGGAACGUGCCCUUUGGUUCGGAAUAGCCCUGGGAAACUGGGAGUAAUACCGGAUACGGUCGAGAGACGAAAGAUUUAUCGCCGAAGGAUCGGCCCGCGUUGGAUUAGGUAGUCGGUGGGGUAAUGGCCUACCAAGCCGACGAUCCAUAGCUGGUUGAGAGGAUGAUCAGCCACACUGGGACUGAGACACGGCCCAGACUCCUACGGGAGGCAGCAGUGGGGAAUCUUAGACAAUGGGGGAAACCCUGAUCUAGCCAUGCCGCGUGAGCGAUGAAGGCCUUAGGGUUGUAAAGCUCUUUCGUGGGGGAAGAUAAUGACUGUACCCCAAGAAGAAGCCCCGGCUAACUCCGUGCCAGCAGCCGCGGUAACAC